AUUGAACGCUGGCGGCAGGCCUAACACAUGCAAGUCGAGCGGAUGAAGGCAGCUUUCGCCUGGAUUCAGCGGCGGACGGGGGAGUAAUGCCUAUGAAUCUGCCUGGUAGUGGGGGAUAACGUCCUGAAACGGGCGCUAAUACCGCAUACGUCCUGAGGCAGAAAGUGGGGGGGCUUCGGACCGCACGCGAUCAGAUGAGCCUAGGUCGGAUUAGCUAGUUGGUGGGUUAAAGGGCUACUAAGGCGACGAUCCGUGACUGGUCUGAGAGGAUGAUAAGUCACAUGGGAACGGAGACACGGACAAGAGUACUGCGGGAGGGAGCAGUGGGGAAUAGUGGGCAAUGGGCGAGAGUAUGAUACAGCCAGGCCGAGUCUGAGACGAAGGUGUUCGGAGUGGAAAGACGUCUAUGUUGGGAGGAAGGGCUGUAGGUUAAUACGUUGCUUUUGUGACGGUAACGAGAGAAUAAGCACCGGCUAACUUCGUG
rnacentral:rRNA from 1 species